rnacentral:rRNA from 1 species
CUGGAACUCGCCUGCAUGAAGUUGGAUUCGCUAGUAAUCGCGCAUCAGCCAUGGCGCGGUGAAUACGUUCCCGGGCCUUGUACACACCGCCCGUCAAGCCAUGAAAGUCGGGGGUGCUUGAAGUACGCUUACCGUAAGGGGCGUCCUAAGGCAAAACCGAUAAUUGGGGCUAAGUCGUAACAAGGUAAC